CCUUUAAUGAAUGGCCUAUUUUAAAACUGUUUUCAUACACAGGGCGCACCGCAUUAUGAGACGCAUAGAAUAGAAACUACAAUAGAGGCUGCAGUUGCUUUAUGCAUCCACUAGAUGGAGCUACUCUAAAGGAAUACAAUACAGUAAUCCCUCGUUUAUCGCGGUUAAUGGGGACCAAAACCACCCGUGAUAAACGCAUAUCUGCAAAGUAGUGACCAAUUAACAUAUACAGGGAAUUUUUUUAAGUCCGCAAACAGUACGCAAGAAGCUGCAAAAUAAUAGUGAGUCACAUGGAGCAACAUAUACAGUACUGUACUCCAUGUAUAUGAUUUUUUUAUAAGGUGCACUUGUCGGCUUUUGAGAAACUUGAAUGCUUUUAGGUGCGUCUUACAGUGUAGAAAAUACGGUAGAUACAAUUCACAGAUUAAAUGAAGGGUUCGUUAACACAAACAUUUUGUGGAACCAUCUUUAAUUUGAAAUGUUUAUACGUAAGUCAGUGGUGCAUAGACAUUGACACGCGCACCAUCGCUUCAUACAUGCAUGACCAAAGUCUGAAACAAACGUUUCUGAUGCGUUCUUCAAGUGGAGCAAAGAUUACACCUCACCCAUAAACUCUCACCUCUUCCCAAAAUAAAGAGAGUUUGGUAUUAUUCGACAAUAUUAUUUUUUAAACAAUUUUACUCCCAUCUCAUAGACCACUGAUAGAGAAAUCUAUGAAGAAAAUUGUAUCAUGUUUAAAGUUUCGGUUAAUUUGGGCACGUCUGGACAUACUCGGCGCAGAGGUGUCGGCCGUUUGGGCGGAGGGCCUUUUCUUGAGGAAUCAUGUCAAAGCAAGGGGGGCGAACACUUGGAAGAAGGCUAGAUUCAAUCAUAGAGUGGGAAUAAACAAAUUGGGAACAAAGAGUUGUUGAAUACCAAAAGACAGUUUGGGAACAGCUGUCGCGCCCAGGUGGACAUUAGUCAUCAGCCAAGUCUGUGACUUGUGUAUUCGGGUAGAUCAGAUCACUACCGAGGGGCCGGACCGGGGGGCGCGGUAUGCUAAUCUCUGGGGCAAAGUCUUUCUUGUAUUUUGCAAUAAAAGUUCGAACCGGCGGAGAGGGAGCCGAGUGUGAUCGCGGAGCAACAACCGUCGUUCGCUCUCAGAGGUCCGCUCCCGCCGAUAUUGAAGACAAUUUUCCUGUGUGCCGAGUCGUUUCUUUAACUUUGUCCGAGAAAAUCUCUGACAGAAACUUGGCGUUGUCGGAAGGAUGAUGUGCUUGUUCGAACGGAUUUGAGCUUUUUUGUUGGACUCUCCGAUUUCCUCCGGUGUACGAUCCGUGGCUGAUCGCGCGUUUUGCGCCUCCGAAGCCAACCAAACCUCGUGGAGACUUUUCCAGGAGGAGCCAGCCCCGCACCGGACACCGCGAGGAGCGAGCAAGCGCCAUCAUCCAACGAACCUGGGUUCAACUCGGCAUCGGGACAAUUGUCUGGAAAAAUAAGGUCAGUCGGCGUGGUGGAGAAGCCGUUGCGUAGUCGGUUAUCUCCACUGAAUGACGGAAUUAGACGAGUUAAUGCCGAAAAGGAGUAGGCUAGCUCGAGUACCGUUUCGUGGUUAGCGGUACGGGGGAAAUUAGAUUCCCGGGACACAGAGCCCAAGCGCAUCUGUGAGAGCAUUGGCUCAUUUAGAUACCGUUUCUCGCUAAGCGUAAACGGUGAGGAAGCUUUGUCUUCCUGCGGAGGUUGACCACCUCGGUGUGUGUUUGCAUCUAACGUUGUAUGCGUAUAUUGCGCGUAUCGGUUUUGUGUUAGUGCGUGAGUGUGAUUGGUGAUCACGCUAUUGUGGUAACGUAACCCAUAUAAACUCCGGCGGGGGCCAUUUUUGUUUCGAAUAACAACCCAGAACUAGAUUGCGAUUUUCGGUAAAAUACCCGUAACACAUCUGGUGGUUGCUCGGCAACAACAUGGCUAUGCCGAAGUACUCUGGCUGCUGGUGAUGAGCGCUUCCACCUUGGCUCACAUGAAAAGACUAUCUGAUCAGAAAGAGAUGCAUAGGCACAAUGACCUGCCAGGAUGUUCUGCUCCACAGACUUGCCAGGUCCAAAUUGGAGACUGGUCUUCUUCAAGGUGCUGAAAAAAGACUUCUCUGGGACAGUGAACGCUGGAAUGGCCCCUUUCAAGUGAUUGCAGCAACAAAAACUGCGGUCAAGGGCGAAGGACGCAACGGCUGGAUCCACCAGUCGCAGUGCAAGCUCCUUUGGUUCAAGGUUGAGGGGCCUAGCGACGCCAGUCCCAGGAAGGCAAAUCAGCACCCAAACACCAGUGCGCGGACCUUGCGCGCCACCGAAAGACCACAGGAAGGAAGUCACGUGUUGCCUGUGCAUCAUCAGCAUCAUCAUCAACAUCAUCGACCUAGGUGGGGUCACCGUGGGCACACAGGCCCACGAAUGGAGUAACUUGCCUCAUGGGAUUCGACGCUGGGAGGCAGGAGGCGACAAACUGACAGGACGAUGAUUGGUUUACUAGAACCUUAUGUAAGCCCAUAUGACGACUUCACAGAAAGGCAUUGCAGAUGUGAAUGUUUGAUGUUUUGGGUUGGCUUACUCUGUUUGAUGUUUAGAUUAGAUUUCGAUUUUCAUUUAAUGUAUAGCCAUUGCCCGGGAAGGGUUUUCUGUCCUGAUCUUGUUACACCACCUUCCCCUCAGGACAGUUUUUCCUCCCACCCGUGCAAUUGCAUAUCAAUGUCACCUGGGCGUUUGACAAAACUUUAAUUAUGAUACAGAGGUGGGAAUGUUAGAAGAAUCUAUGAGCAAAAUUGUAUCAUGUUUAAAGUUU